UACGUAGGGUGCUAGCGUUGUCCGGAUUUAUUGGGCGUAAAGGGCUCGUAGGCGGUCUGUCACGUCGGCUGUGAAAUCCCGAGGCUCAACCUCGGGUCUGCAGUCGAUACGGGCAAACUAGAGUAUUGCAGGGGAGACUGGAAUUCCUGGUGUAGCGGUGAAAUGCGCAGAUAUCAGGAGGAACACCGGUGGCGAAGGCGGGUCUCUGGGCAAUAACUGACGCUGAGGAGCGAAAGCGUGGGGAGCGAACAGG
rnacentral:rRNA from 1 species